rnacentral:rRNA from 1 species
CUACGGGACGCUCCAGUAGGGAAUAUUGGACAAUGGGCGGAAGCCUGAUCCAGCAACACCGCGUGCACGAUGACGGCCUUCGGGUUGUAAAGUGCUUUUAGAGGAGAUGAGAAAGGACAGUAUCCUCUGAAUAAGCCUCGGCGAACUACGUGCCAGCAGCCGCGGUAAAACGUAGGAGGCAAGCGUUAUCCGGAUUUAUUGGGCGUAAAGCGCGUGCAGGCGGUCUAGCAAGUUGGAUGUGAAAGCUCCCGGCUCAACUGGGAGAGGACGUUCAAUACUGUUAGACUAGAGAAUAGGAGAGGGAGGUGGAAUUCCGGGUGUAGUGGUGAAAUGCGUAGAUAUCCGGAGGAACACCAGUGGCGAAAGCGGCCUCCUGGACUAUUUCUGACGCUAAGACGCGAAAGCUAGGGUAGCAAACGGGAUUAGAUACCCUCGUAGUC